rnacentral:rRNA from 1 species
AGAACGAACGCUGGCGGCAUGCCUAAUACAUGCAAGUCGAACGAGAUCUUCGGGUCUAGUGGCGCACGGGUGCGUAACGCGUGGGAAUCUACCCUUGGGUUCGGAAUAACAGUUGGAAACGACUGCUAAUACCGGAUGAUGACGAAAGUCCAAAGAUUUAUCGCCCAGGGAUGAGCCCGCGUAGGAUUAGCUAGUUGGUGAGGUAAGGCUCACCAAGGCUACGAUCCUUAGCUGGUCUGAGAGGAUGAUCAGCCACACUGGGACUGAGACACGGCCCAGACCUCCUACGGGA